ACUGAGUGAGAAGCGCAACGCUGCAGUCGCCAGGCCACCCCGCUGGGGCCCACUCCAGGGAGCAGAGCAAAACAACCUGCCUCCAGAUGGACAAUUAACAAAGGCGGGAGCCGGGGCCGCCCCUCCUCGGCGCACGCACGUACGCAGCCUGGGCAGAGCCGCGCCCGCCCGCGCCCUCCGUGGGAACAGAGCGCCCGGGCCGCAGCGCCGCGCGGGUCCUGGAGCCCAGCGCCUCUCCUGCCCUGGCUGCGCAGUCCCCGGGGCGGCCGAGCUCCCCGCAGGAGCCAGCACUUUGCGCGUGCGAACCUGCUGACAUGGCCGAGCCUGCGGAUGACGAGCUGUCCUCCCGGACGGGGAGUCCAGACGGGGAAGGUCUGGUCUCUGAGGACAGAUCCCUGCUCCAUCAGAGGCUGGCCGUCAGGGAGCUCGUCGACACCGAGGCCUCCUAUUUGCAUGUGCUCCAGCUCUGUGCCUCAGACAUCAGGGGCCGCCUGCAGCAGCUGCCUCAGGAAGAUCUGGAUGUCCUGUUCUCGAACAUCGAUGAUGUCAUCAAGGUGAACAGCAGGCUGCUCCGAGAUCUGCAGGACGCGGCCUCCAGGGGAGAGGAGCAGGUGCGGCUGGUCGGUGACGUGUUCCUGGAAUUCCAAGAGGAGCUGGAGCAAGUCUAUAAGGUCUACUGUGCCAGCUACGAACAGGCCUUGCUGCUGGUGGAGAACUACCAGAAGGAUCCAGAGCUGCAGCGGGGGAUCCAGCGCACCAUCGAGGCGGUGCUGCCGCAAGCUGGACCCUCAGGCCUCAGUUUCUUGCUGGUAAAUCCUCUGCAGAGGGUUACCAAAUACCCACUGUUGCUGCAGAAAAUUCUGGAGAACACACUCCCCGAUGCCAGUGCCUACCCCGUCCUUCAGAGGGCUGCCUCUGCCCUCCAGGACGUGGUCACCCACAUCAAUGAGUACAAGAGGCGCAAAGAAGUGGCUUCCAGGUACACCAAGGUGGAGCAGCUGAGCCUCCGGGAGCGACUGGCUCGCAUCAACACGCACACGCUCUCCAAAAAGACCACCAGGCUGAGCCAGCUGCUGAAGCAGGAGGCGGGGCUUGUACCCAAGCUGGAAGACAAGGAAUUUGAUGACUUAGAAGAGAAGUUCCACUGCGUGUCACUGUGUGUCACGGAGCUGAAGAGCAACGUGGCUGCUCACCUGGAUGCCCUGGAGGUCUUGCUCCGCUUCCGGCCGCACGAAUCCCAUCUGGACAUUCCCGGGGGGCCCGUGGCGCAGUACGGCGACCUGGCGAGAGACCUGCAGCUCCAGGCCUUCCCCCAGUUUAAGCAGCGGCUGGAAGGUCUGGUGUGGCAGCCGUUGUGCAGCCUGGCCAAAGCCCUGGCUGGCCCUCAGAACCUGAUCCGGAAGCGUCUGGACAAACUGCUGGACUUCGAGAGGGCAGAAGAGAAGCUGUCGGAGGUGGGCAGCGUGACCUAUGAGGAGGAGGCGGCCCGGCACACGUAUCAGGCCCUCAACUCCCUGCUGGUGGCUGAGCUCCCACAGUUUAACCAGCUGGCCGUGCAGUGGCUGCGCCAGAUCCUGUGCACACUUGUGACUCUUCAGGGGGACCUUGCGAAGCACGUGCUGCAGAGGGCGGAGAGCAGCUUGGCCCAGCUCCCCCACCACCACCUCUCUGAACCAGCCUUUAGGGACCUGGUGGCGGACACUCUGGACCAGGCAGGUCACCAGCUGCGCUCCUUUCAAGAGAACUUUGAGAAGGUGCUGCCACCUCCCACCACCCGGCCACUCCUUCCAGGGGCCGAACGCCAGGUGCAGGCUCUCUUGAGCAGGUACGGCUCGGGAAAGCUGUACCAGGUGACAAGCAACAUCAGUGGGUCGGGGACUCUAGACCUGACCCUGCCGCGGGGCCACGUUGUGGCGCUCCUUCAAAACAAGGACACCAAAGGCAACAGCAGCCGAUGGCUAGUGGACACUGGAGGACAUCGAGGGUACGUGCCGGCCGGGAAACUGGAGCUGUACCGUGUGGCCCCCAGCGAGGAGGACCUCAGAGGACAGGCGAAGCCUCACGAAAACUCCCGCCAGCUGACGCCAGAGCCCACACUGGCCCCGGUCCCCUCUGUCCCAGCGGUGACUCAGGUGGUGGCAGUGUGCCCCUUUGCGGCCAGAAGCAGCCAUGAAGUGAGCCUGCAGGCCGGCCAGCAGGUGACUGUCCUGGAGGCCCAGGACAAGAAGGGGAACCCGGAAUGGAGCCUCGUGGAAGUGAACGGACAGAGGGGCUACGUGCCUUCCAGCUUCCUGGCCAGGGUCCCCGGCCCAGCUCCGUGGGGCUGGAGUCUGCCCUCUUAGGGUGCCCUCCUUGGCGCUUACGUUCCAAGAGCCUUAGAGGCUGUGGCCCCAGGAAGAGGAGACGCAGAGAGCAGGCGCAGUGGAAGGGGACGUCAGGCCAGGGUGGGGUGACGGGAGCCAGAAGAGGCGGGUGGGCCUGGGGUGCUGGGGUGGGUGCGCAGGAAGGGCUCCACCAGGACGGCUCGUCACGCCUGUGUGAAGAGGGCGUGCCAGCCUGAGUUGCAACACCCUGGAUGGCAGGUCACAGCCCAUCAAGCAGGACUUGCUGUAGCUUAUGGCUGGUCUCGCCUGUGGCCCUGCCCGGGCCUGCCAGGGGAGCGGGUCACCCACAUGCGUGUCCCCCGUGUGCUGUGUGGUGGCCUGACGGGUCACUUGCUGCCGGUGGUAGAGAGGGAGGCCACGGCCGACCGGCCAGCUUCUGUUGCCCCAGCUGGAGCCGGGUUAUCUCGGACAGUGAAGGCUGGGCGCCGUGUCCAGUGGGAGGGCAGUGGAGAGGUUCCCAGGAGACGCUGGCUGGCCCGGGAGUGGGUGUGAGCAAGUCACAGCUCUGGAAUGUGUGUGGGCAAAUGCAGAGGCCGCUCCAGGGGUUUGAGGGGUGAGAGGCAGGGUGUGGGCGGGCUGUUGGCAGCAGCUGUUGGUCUUGAGUGUGAAGGCCAAGGGGCAUGCAAAUCACAGAGGAAACUGUGAGGCAGGGGUUCAAGUCCUAGUGGGCGGUCGGGACUUGGUUUCCUGUUUCUGGAAGAAAGGGACCCGGGAGAAUCCCCGGUGGUUUCAGGAGGCAGCCAAGGGCCUGGGGCAACAGUGGAGGUGACAUCACUUGGCCGUGGAACCUCAGACCUAGGACGCAACCUCAGUUUUCCACCCAUGAGGCUCUAACCCAGGCUUGUGGUGAGAAUGACAUGAUGCUGAGGGUGUGGAAGCUCCUUGCAAAUCCCUGCAAAAACUGCAGGCUGCGCCGGAAGUGAUCUCAGGACGGCCUCGGCCACCAGCUGGCACGCCCCACGUCCACGGCCAUGACUGACGUCCUUCGUCAAUGCGGCACCCUUUCCCCAAAGCCCGGGGUCCCUCCCGGGGCUGCAUUCCAGGUAACCAGGCUGUCAGACUCAGUGAGAAGAAACCCAUCAUCCCUUUGCAGAACUUAGACUCUGAAGCCCUCACAGCGGUUCCUGUGCCCGGAAGGCUGCCCACUGGGGCGUGUUGGGAGGCCCCUGCUCUUGGAUCUUCAUCUCUGGGUUGUCGCUCUGGGCUCAGAUACGUUGCAAGAUUCGCAGGAGAGGGCCAAAGGGACCCAGUGUGACUUUUAAAUUACAAAUUUUGAAACUAACCCAACUUAAGCGUGUGUGUAAAACAGGUGGCUGUUUCGCCUUCAUUCCAAGAACAUCUCUGCAUUAUUAUAACCGUAGUGCCUAAAAACUGUUAGCUCUGGGUUUUGGAGAGCCUUGAAGAAGUGUGUACCUGUCUGUGCCGGACAGUCGGUAACGUACCAGAGGACUGGGCGUGUGAAAGCGCGAAGGCUGCAGACACGACGCAGGAGGAACGCAGCUCUCGCGGUCCCUCUCCCAGCCCCAGAUUCACUCUCCGAGGUGCCUGCGACUCGUGCCUUUCUCCUUCCUGCUCAGGUUUCUGAGACAGACAGGCAGCGCAGGGGAGCAGGUAAUGACACAGGAAAACACUGUGGGUCCACGAUGCUGAUGCGAGCCUACGGUGUGCUCGAGUCCUAGCUCAGAGCUUUUCAGCAGGGCCGCCCGCAGCAGUGGCUGGGGCAGCUUCCAGCCGCCCUGAAGCCAGGAUCUCACCCGGAGAUGCUGAUAGAAUUAGUCUGGGGUGUGUGGCCCAGCCUCAGGAAUUCAGAGAGCUCCUCAGGACCUUCUGGUGUGUGGCCAGGGUUGGGACCUCUGCUUUAGACACACAGCAGGGGAUGAAGUAGGCCUGGGAUCAGAAGUGGUCGCAAGCUGUGAGCUCGGACGGGCCCUAGCCACUCUCUGUGCUCGCUCAGAUGUUUCAAACAGGCAGCUUGAGAGAUGGUUUGAAAUAGGACAGCCUGUUUUGUUAGGUCCUAGAAUGUAUAUUUAUUAAGUGCCUUUAAAAGGGACCUGAGCCGAAUUGAAUGUUCUUGUAGGCAUGAGGGAGAAAACUGAAAUAUUCUUGGAACCAAAUCUGGCUCAUGAAGGGAAAUUAAAAAUGUAUUCAGCCACGCAUGGGUUAUGGUUUCUCACAGGCCAGGGAGGAGAUGGGAGAGAAGAUGCAUGUCGAGAAGAGGGAGAAGGGCCUGAAUCUUCUCCAGGGGCUCUGAUGUCCUCCCCAAACGCCUAGAACCCUUGCACUGUGUCUUCCUGAUUUCGCUGCCGGGCUGCCGCAUGUUGCGCUCGCUAAGGUAUUUGCCUGUGACGUGAACAAGACCUCCAGGAGCUGAAGAUGCACUCACGGUGGAGAGGGACGCCAGCUUUGGGCCCCCGCCGAUGGUAGGCACGGGGGCAAGAUUGCGAUAGCGAAGGAAAGAUGCAUGGGUUCUGGGUUAACAUGGUGAGCUCUGGCGUGGUGACUGACUCUGGAAUAAAGGAUCUCAAAGGUGAAAUGAGACCUUGCUGGACUUUGCGUGUGACGUUUGUUCCCUGGGUGUUUGCUGUACCGAGAGAAGUCACCUCAUUUCUUCACGUGCCAGUGAGUGUCUUCCGUGCCUCCAGGAGGUGGAGUGAGAAAUCAGGCAGCCCAGAGCCCUGCGCUGGCCAAGUCCACCGUCUUAUGAGGGAGGCAGAGGCAGAAUGGCAAACCCAAAACGAAAAGACAAACACAACGACACACACGCACGCAACUAGAAGAACCUCAGCCUCUAUCUGUUUCCACCCCGCCGGCCACGUCCCGGGCCAGAGAUGGCAGGGUAUUACAAUGUGCGUGUCCUUUAGAUAAGGCUGAAUGUGAAAUUGGAAUUAUAUCACUUCUUCCCCCAAGAGCCUGUCCUGCGUCCUCAGCCUCCUGGAAGGACAGCGCCACCAAAUACCUCAUCUGCACCCGUGAGCCCAGAGAGGGCCUUCGGCAGCCUCCCUCCGGUGAUGGUGUCACGCUGCGCUCGGCUCCUCGCGCCGGAGCCUGGGGUUCACCCGCCCCCCCAGCCCUCCCGCGAGGCCUGUCAGCGCCGCCUCCAGAAGCGUCCCCAGAGCAGCCCCGGUCCCGUCUCCGCCACCUCCGUCCAGAAGCAGCCUCGUCUGUCCCCUGGGCUCCCGCAGGAGCGCCUGGCCUUCCCCUCGCCCGCGCUCCGUGCAGCAGUCACGGCGACGCUUCGGCUUAAAGCUGAACGCACCCUAAGUGCGCCCCCAGAUCCGGCCGCCGGGAUGGCCCCGCCCCCGCCCCCGCCCCCGCCCUGCAGUGAGGCCAGUGCUCCUCCUCCCUCCACUGCUCAGUUAGCCGCGCUCCGUCCUCACCCGGACCCUGCCCCGGCCCUUCCCUCCCCGGCACACCCUCUCCCCACAUGUGCCCACGGCCGGCUUCUUGCCACACGGGUCGGCUCCUCAGCGACGCCUUCGCGACCACUCCCUCUGGGUGGCCUCUGGCCCCCGACACGCUCGGUGCCUCACCCGGUCUUCCUGUCAGUACAGAGGGGCCACUGCCUCUUCUUUUCUUGUUUAUCUACUCGUCUGAUGCCUUCAUUUAGAAAGUAAGUUCCUCGGAGUUCCCCGUGGUGCAGGGGGUUAAGGACCUGGCGUUGUCACUGCUGCGGCUGAGGUGGCCGCUGUGACACAGGUUCCAUCCCUGGCCCAGGCGUUUCCACAUGCCACGGGCAUGGCCACAGAGAGGUAAGUUUCUCCCAGGGAAGGGCUCCAUCAUCGUAUUCACUUCCAGAUCCCGAUAAUCCUUAGCCUGUCCCAAAUGGGCGAUGCCUACUCCGCCGAAACAUUGGUCAUGGUUGAUCUGAAAUUCAAGUUUAGCCAGGCUCCCCGUAUUCUAACUGACAGUCCUACCCGAGGCCCAUGGUACCACAUCUCGGGGACAUGGUGCCAAGAGCGGAAGCCAGACUGAAGAGAAGAGAGCAAAUGAUGUGGGCGAGAGAGGCGGCGGGAGAGGCAGGGUAACAGAGGCCCCGGUGGCCCAGUGUUCGCCCUCUGACGGUGUCGGGAAGUCCCACAGCUCGGUGGCCCAAGGUCGGUGCCACCCCUGUGCUUUCUGUACUUUGUUUCCAGGCAUCAAUAAAGUCCCCUUUCACUUCGAAAUAACAGCCGACGUUCUUGAGCACGUAUGUGUGCCAGGCACUGGGCCGAGCGCUUGGAUGCACUGUCUCGCUGAGGCUGUCACCUCAGUGUCACCUCACACAGCUCGCUGAGGGUGUUGCUGUGUGGCGUCUACAGAGGAAGCGCUGAGGGACAGAGACCCUAAAUAACGUCCUCAAGGUCACGCAGACUUGAAGCGGCAGAGCCGGGCUCCACAGCCAGGCCGUCCGAUGCCAGCGUGUGGGACCACUGCGAGGAGAAGCCGUCCCUCGUCCCCCAGGAGGUCCCAGGUGGCUUGGGUCGAGCAGACACCGGACUGCUGACCCUCGCGUGGCAGGCGGCCUCACGUGAGGGCUCAGGAACCAGACGAGCCAGGCUCAGAGCCACCUCCCUCACCCCUGGGGUGACUUUGGGAAAGCUCCCCUCUUGCUCUGAGCCUCAGCUUCCUCUCCUAGAAAGCGGAGUUGACAGUAACAGUAGCUCUUGCACAGGAUGGACGUGGGGCUUUGAUUAAUUAAUGCCUGUAUACACACGUAAAGAGCCAUCAGAUCCAUGAGCCUUUAAUAAAUAUUUACGGACAUCUUUAUUAUUUGCAGCUUUUCUCUGAUGCCCAGCACAGGCCCUGGCACGAAGGAAGUGCUCCUGAUUCCUGCAAGAAUGAAAGUAAGAAGAGCGAAUAUUAGUAAGAAGCCUGGCAGCUGAUUAUGCAGCACCUUCUACGUGCUAAGCACCCUCUCGGCCCAUCCCCACCACAGCCCUGCCAAGUCGGUGACUUACAGUCGAGGAGACGGAGGCUUCAAGGCAUCGAGUGACCACAGAGGCCACAGAGAGAGGCCUGGAGGCUCCGACGUGCUCCUCACGGUGCCCGUGCCUUUGCCCGCGCUGUGAGCCGUUAGGCGGGCGUAGGGUCCCGUUUUAUGAAGGAGGCACAGCGAGGUACAGCUCCUGCUGGAGGUCACGUCGGGGCUAAGAGCAGAGCAGGUCUGAACCCAGCUUCCUCUGCCUCCCAGUCGAGUCUUUGUCCCCUGUACUCGAGCGCUGCCCUCCGGAGAACCCCCCAAAGCACGGCAUCCCUCAGCUCUCCCAGCGACACCCGCUGACCCCUCCCCGCUGCGCGAUGCCGGGCUGGGGCUCUGCCUGCGUCCCUGCAUCCACUGCCUCCCGCCUUCGUCUGUCCUUCGCGGGCCACCACCAGGGUCAGCUUUCAGAAAUACGCCUCCGAGUCCAGGGCCCUUGCUGGUCUUUCCGGGGUCCUUGACCGGAGCGCCGUGGUCUGGCCCGUUUUCCCUUCUGCUCCUUGAGCUCUGUGCUCGGGCUGGGCGGGAUGUGCCUUGUUCUCUCUGCCCUUCCGCUCGCCCUCCUCUCCUUUGCCAAGUCGCCCUUCAGGGCUCAGGGACGUGUCUCUUCCUCCCGGAAGCCUUCCUUCCUGGGUCCCAGUCCUCUUCCUGUGUGUGCCUCUGCUCGGGUUCUUCGUCCUCUCUGUUGGAACCGCCUUUUUACAGAAGGAUCUGUCCCUUGUUCCCGGAAGGCAGGGGCUGCGUCGCCUGUUCUCCCUGCAUCCCCCGAGCCCGGCGUGUUGGGUGCCGGGUGCCGGGUGGAGGCGCUGGGGGAAAGCUGGUGAAUGAAGGAGGUUCCCGAAGACGUGAUGUUUUCUUGCCCCGAGCACCAGGCUCAGGUGGCUGGCACACAGUAGGCUCUCCGUGCACAUUUGUUCAGUGGAGGGUGGGUGAGUAUGCGCACUAAUAAACGCCACGGUUCAGGAGUUCCCGUCGUGGCGCAGCAGUUAACGAAUCCAACUAGGAACCAUGAGGGUGCGGGUUCGGUCCCUGGCCUCACUCAAUGGGUUAAGGACCCAGCGUUGCCGUGAGCUGUGGUGUGGGUCGCAGAUGUGGCUCGGAUCCCGCGUUGCUGUGGCUUUGGCGUAGGCUGGUGGCUACAGCUCCGAUUCGACCCCUAGCCUGAGAAGCUCCAUAUGCCGCGGGAGCAGCCCUAGAAAAGACAAAAAGACAAAAAGACAAAAAAAAAAAAUCGCAGUUCAACACCUCCGCCCUCCCCACGCACACGCAGGAUUGGUUCACCCCUCAGCUUGGGCCUCUUACAGAAUAAAAGGGAUUCCAGCUCCUCGCGUGAAUGCCGAGGGGGGGUUGAGUAGAAAAAAAGAAGCCUGCUCCUUCAAGAAGAAGAGUUUCAGGCAAGAAAGGCCUUUCUUGCCGGCGAAGGGAGGAGGGGGUUGGGGCCUCAGCCCAGUUUCAGGGCGGCCUCCGCUGGCCCCAGCCUGACUAAUAAAGUGUGAAAUUGACUUCAUCCUCUGCCGCGUCUCCCCAGCCAGUGUCCCCGCAGCACCUCCGCGGCCUCCACCGAGGCCACGCUGUCGGCCUCGCUCCGUCACGGCAGACAGGCGGGUCAGCAGCGCCCACGCCGCCCCAGGGCCCAGCGCCGCAGAGCCCACGAGCCUUCUGGCCUCAGGCCAGGAUGGGCUUUCAAAGCUAGAAGCAUCCGAUGUGGCAUGUGUGACGCAGCUUCUAAGUCAGCCGCCGGCCCCUCCUGUCCCUGUUUACUCCUCUGGCGCUGGCGGCGGACGCAUGGGAGGGGGGCAGCGAGGACGGCAUUAGGGGAGACCCCGGAGACCCCUCCCCUCCACUGCACCAGACGCAGGGCUGGAGAAUCAGAGCACAAGAGACCACGGGGAGCGAGGAAGUCGGGGUGCUCACGGGAGCCCCCGGGGGCCUUAGGGGCUGCCUGGGGGGUGAUGGGAGGCCCCCAGACCCCUCCUUCCACCAGGAUGGCGCUGUUUGGGGAUCCGUUUUAUUUAUUUGCUCAUGUUUAGCAUUUCCUAGGAAGAAGGGAAGGCCAUGACUCUAGGGAGUCCUAAACCAGGCGUUGUCCAGCGGUCCUUCCCAGACGGCCUGUGCUGCACAUUCAACCGGCGACUUGGUCAAAAGGACAGAUUCCGACGCCUGUGGCUCCAAGUGGCCUUCAGGCCAGCUCUCCUCUCGGUUGCAAGACAGCUGAUGCCCUUCCAGACAUGACAUGUCCAGAAUAAGGGGAAAGCUGGUCUGAGAAUGAAGCUAGCACUGAGCCAAGAGAUUGAGAUACGGAGACCCUAAGCUGCUGGAUGCAGCCGGGCCUGACGCCAGAUAACCCUGUGCAUCUCAGUCACAUGAGCCAAUAAACUUUCCUUUCUUGGUCAGCCCAGUCUGCGUUGGCAUUCUGCCCCUUGCAACCAAAAAACACAACACCAACUAAUAUAACGUGUUUUUGAAAAAGCUGGACCGUGCUCCUUUUGGCAGAAUCGUACAUGUGUAAAGGGGAGAUGAGGGUGGGAAACCAGGCUGUAAGCACACGGCCGGGUCCUUGGAGACCCUGCGAGGGGCCACCCAAUCUCUGAGGCCACUGGGAGACACAGGCUCUCCUAAGGCCAGGCGACUCCAGGAGCUGCCGAACCAGCUACACUUCGCCCCCGGGGAUCAGGUUAAUGCUUUUGUAGCUGCUGAUAAAGUAGAAUUCUUGACCUGCAGCUGGACUCAUCCCCCAGGCCCACUUUCACCAGGGGAGAGGGGUAAAUUCUGCAUAAUUGCGGAAGUUUGAAAGACCAGAACUACGGGCCUUUAUCAGCCGCU